GGACUACUGGGGUUUCUAAUCCUGUUUGCUCCCCUAGCUUUCGCACCUCAGCGUCAGGAACGCGCCAGUCACUCGCUUUCGCCUCCGGCGUUCCUCCUGAUAUCUACGCAUUUCACCGCUUCACCAGGAGUUCCAGUGACCCCUCACGCCCUCAAGCCCGGUAUUUUCAGCCGCCGUUCCGCCGGUAAGCGACGGGAUUCCACGACUGAUUUGCCGGACCGCCUACGUGCCCUUUACGCCCAGUGAAUCCGAACAACGUUCGCACUCUCCGUAUUACCGCGGCUGCUGGCAC
rnacentral:rRNA from 1 species